CUCGCUCCUAUAUUUUUUUUCCUUCAAUCUCUGUCAAAGAGUUGGUCUUCUGUUGCACAACGGUGUGAAGCGAUAUCUUCACGAGCUUGUUCUGGAUUCGGCUGGCCUCCUCGCAAUCGUUCUAUCUAGUGAUCUCUGCCGCCGGUUUGCAGGGUUUAGUUCCUGUUUCGGACUGGGAAUUGGAGGAGGUGGUGCUGCUGCUGUUGGUACUGAUUAUUCCAAUGUGGUCCCAGUUAGUGUGCUCUUUGCCUCUUCCUAGUAAAUUCGUUUUUCUUUUUCUCCUCUUUCCUUCUUCCCCUUCCUCUGUUUAUUUUAUUUAGUGCUUUCAGAUUUGUUUUUUCUUUAAACUGACACCACCGCCGCCUCAAUUCCUUGCAGUGCCACCAUCACCGACGAAACUCCCUCCACCGCCAUUGCUGCUGCUCCACCUCCACCAUCACGGCGACCGUCGCAUCCUACACCAACACAGUCGCAUAUCAACGAUUAUUAAUUAGAUUAUAAGUUUUUUUUUUUUUGUUUAAUUUUAU
rnacentral:lncRNA from 1 species